GACCACUCCUCCGGGAGUUAAGGCCAUACGGACAGCCGGGUCCACUGCCGA
rnacentral:sRNA from 1 species